CUCUCUCGGUCUCGCUGUAUCACUCUCACACACUCUUUCACUCCAGAAUGCGGGAAUUGAACAUAGAGAAAGAUGAUGGAAUUGUUUGUUUUGGACAGUUGAUGGGCAUGUGCGACCAUGUAUCAGUCACCCUGGGCAUGGCCGGCUACAUGGUGUACAAGUCGCUGCCCUACGGAGCGGUGGACACAGUGAUCCCGUACCUCGUGCGCAGAGCUCAGGAAACCAGGCCGUUCUCCAGGGAGUGAGACAGGAGCAGCAGCUACUGCGGAGAGAACUGCGUCGGAGAUUCCGACUGCCGGGCGCUCGAACUACGCCUUCCUGAACCGUCCCAUCAGCCGAUCAGCCCCCGAGGAUCACAGCGGGAACGGGCAGGGGGUCCGGCGGCAUCCAAUAAGAGAGGAAAAUUAGUUAACGAUUUAGGUCGAUCGCCUACAGUCUGAAGAAAGAUUAUCUUGGCUCAGUCGGCUGUGCGGAGUCCUGCAGCUCAGUGGUUAGAGCACUCGCUUUGCGAGCGACUGACCCGAGUUCAAUUCCAGGCAGAGGGCGAAACCUCGGGCAAGUUUCCUUACUCCGCACAGAGCCUAAUAAUAAUCCCUCCACAACCAAAAACAAUAAUAAAUUGGUCAUUUUCAAUCUACGACUGUUUGUGGGGCAUUGCUGUGCGCAAUUGGCCGCCGCGUUCGCCCACAAAUAUACAGUCAAUUCGCUUUACAGUGUGUUCUGCGGAGCGCUUUGGGACGUCCUCCCGACGUGAGAAGCGCUAUAUCAAAUGCGAGGAUUAUUAUUAUUAUUUUCCUCGCUCCAUGGAUGGUGUUGACAGCUCCAUGGACCUGUUGGCUUUUGAACGUUGGAAUAAAACAUUUUUAAAAAUA